AAAGGAUCCUGCAAUCACCUCCAAAAGAGCCCAUACAAGGACCCCCCUCUUCUAAAGGAAAGAAACUCACCAAAAUGGAACAGGAUUGCCAAUUAAUUGGUGGUAGAAGGUGAAUCCAGGAAGGUGCAGCUCAAACUCGGCCUCAUGUAGCCUAUGGUCCACAGCCCAGACAGGACAGCAGAGCUAUGUGCUAGUGCCCAGACUUUCUGACAAACACAACAAAUGCUCUAUUGCCUAUUCUUCACCAUCUCAACCUUG
rnacentral:lncRNA from 1 species